rnacentral:rRNA from 1 species
GGGUACGAUCAUACCAGCAGUAAUGCAUCGGAUCCCAUCAGAACUUUGCAGUUAAGCGUGCUUGGACGAUGUAUAAUAGUUUUACACA